CAUAACGUCUCACACAUAAAAUGAAUAAAUUAUUGAAUAUAUAACUGAUACGCAUACGAAUCAAGCGAGAAAGCACGACAAAGUGAGAAAAAAACCAAAAUGGCUACAAUUGUCAAGAAGGAAUUUUGCUGAUCCCCUCUUUUCAUCCGAGAAAUAUCCAGACACAUACAGCUUAGAAACAUCCAUCUACUGCUCCAGAAGUAAAGCCGGCGAGAGUGGAUGACGGCGAGUCUUAUCGGUUCAUUUGUUCAUAUUUGGGAAACCGCGAUUGCCGGAGUUCCCAUUGGGCAUGAUCAAUACACGCUGAUAAUAAUACCAUCGCGACAGCAGUUUUCCUUUGCGACGGAUUAUCCACAGGAGCACCAGAAUCCAACACAGCCACAGACCAGCUAGUAACAGCAUCAUUGUCUGUUUAUACGAAGAUAAUUUACAACGACGAUGCUCCUGCAGCUACAAAGUGUUCAUUUUAAAACACGGAAAGGAAUGUCUAGCAGGGCACGAAACGCACAUAGAGCACGACCGCUCCAAUAUUAACAUCCUGAUAUGUGCGUCAUCCCAAUAGUUGCUCCGCCUAGGAAAAUUUUAAAAGUUCCCAGAAGAAGACUCAGCAGCUCGCUCAGCAGGUGCUGGCAAUGAAAAGCAAAGUGCCGGUGGACUAAUGACGCUGCUGCGGGAACUGGGUGAACGAAGUGUCUGGUCACAGACCUAUACGACUGUGUGAAAACGAUCGAGCAUCUCAGUAACGUUCAAUCGCACCGUAGUUGGAUGCAGAUUAUGAACACGUUGGUGCAUCACAAAAUCCAAGAUCACCUGCAGAAGGACGUGCUUUUAUCGUGCUCAAAACCACACCGAUGGCAGGGUGCGAUGACGGAAAUUACUCUUCUGCCCACAACGAGAAUGAAAUAACGGUCAAGUUCUUUUUUCGUGCAAUGAAGGCAUAGGACUCACCUUCUGCAAUCAGGUGCUGUGCAAACUGGCAGAAACAGCGCUGUCAUAAGGCGUUACCUUAAGCUCGACCCGAAGAACUGCAACAUCCUAAUUCACGAUGCAGCUCUUCCUGAGGAAAUCGAUACAAACACUGAUGUGCAAGUUCCAUUGCUACCAAAGCCAACAUAAAUUAGCCUACCGAGGUCGAUACGAAAAUUAAACCUCCGGCGAUAAUACCAUUUUGUACCGAUAGAAAAAUUAUCACUGCAAGCCUGUCAUCAGCGAGGUCAUCAGCAGAGUCAUCAACUGCAAUGAGGAUGUGUUAUAAUGUGUCGAAUUUAUAGUGCUGUCCAAUGAGAGCUUGUAGUAGCUCGAUGUUUCUUCCUGUCCUGCUCAUGCCCAUUUGUUGACAAAAAAGAACGAGCAGGACGGGAACCACUUCUAGCUACUUCGAGCUACUCAUUGGACAGCACUGAUAUCUAUCAUUAUUGAUUUAUUGGCAUUUAUCGCCGGACAGAUGCUGCUAUAACGACAAAUGUUUAAUGUUGGACGUUUUGCGACUGAUUUUCUUCAACUCCGCCAAUUAUGUUUAUGCCUAGUGCUUGAAAAUGAUGUGGUCAGCUCCAAACAUUUGUGAAUUUCAAUUAUUACCGGUAAACCCAAAUUCAUAGUUUGUACUAUAUACAGAUUUACAAAGUUUAUAACAAUAAAUUCAAACAAUAUUUA